rnacentral:rRNA from 1 species
GACGAACGCUGGCGGCGUGCUUAACACAUGCAAGUCGAACGGAAAGGCCUUUUCGGGGGUAUUCGAGUGGCGAACGGGUGAGUAACACGUGGGUGAUCUGCCCUGCACUCUGGGAUAAGCCUGGGAUACUGGGUCUAAUACCGGCCAGGACCGCACAUUUGUGUGUGUGGUGGUAAGUUUUUUCGGUGUAGGAUGAGCUCGCGGCCUAUCAGCUUGUUUGUGGGGUAGUGGCCUACCAAGGCGGCGACCGGUAGGCGGACUGAGAGGUUGGUCGGGCACAUUGGGACUGAGGGACGGCGCAGACGCCUACGGGAGGCAGUAGUGGGGAAUAUGGCACAAUGGGGGCAAGCGUGAGGCAGAGACGCCGCGUGGGUGAUGACGGCUUGCGAGUGGUAAACGCCUGUCGCCAUGGACGAAGCGUUUUGUGACGGUACCUUGAGAAGAAGCACCGGCUAACUACGUG